rnacentral:rRNA from 1 species
UACGUAGGGUGCGCGCGUUGUCCGGAAUUAUUGGGCGUAAAGAGCUCGUAGGCGGUUUGUCGCGUCUGCUGUGAAAACCUAAGGCUCAACCUUGGGCUUGCAGUGGGUACGGGCAGACUAGAGUGCGGUAGGGGUGACUGGAAUUCCUGGUGUAGCGGUGGAAUGCGCAGAUAUCAGGAGGAACACCGAUGGCGAAGGCAGGUCACUGGGCCGCAACUGACGCUGAGGAGCGAAAGCAUGGGGAGCGAACAGG